rnacentral:rRNA from 1 species
UACGUAGGGGGCAAGCGUUGUCCGGAUUUAUUGGGCGUAAAGAGCGUGUAGGCGGCUUGAUAGGUCCGUUGUGAAAACUCGAGGCUCAACCUCGAGACGCCGAUGGAAACCAUCUAGCUAGAGUCCGGAAGAGGAGAGUGGAAUUCCUGGUGUAGCGGGGAAAUGCGCAGAUAGCAGGAAGAACAGCCGUGGCUAAGGCGGCUCUCUAGUACGGUACUGACGCUGAGACGCGAAAGCGUGGGGAGCGAACAGG